rnacentral:sRNA from 1 species
UACAAGGUGGUAACUGGUAGAGAAUGUGAAGGAUAACGUUGCUUUAGCAACGGCCCGAAGGGCGAGGCGAAGCCGAGUCAUCCUGCACGACCCACCA